rnacentral:lncRNA from 1 species
AUAGAUACAUUACCUGUAACACAUGACUGGCACAUAGUGAAAACACAAUAAGUUGGACAUUGAAGAGUGAGUUAAUGCAAGAGGAGUUGACAAAUUGAUUUCAGUCCAGAAAAAUAAGUUUUGCUUUUCCUAAAUCCUGUGUGAAGAAAUUACUAUAAAAGCAGGUUUCAAAGGUCUUCUGAGUAUAGUGAACGCUGAAAGUUGGUGAUGAGAAAAUGGAAGAUAAAUAUGGAAUAAAGCCAUAAGUAUGCAAUGCAAAUUAUGCAUAGUAAAUUGGACACAUUGAUUAGAUUCUUAGA